rnacentral:misc_RNA from 1 species
AGGAGCACAAUGAACAAUUCCAGUCCCACUGUCAGAAGUCACAUAAUCAUCCGCAACGACUCUGAAUGCUGAAUCAGAAAAAUCCUUGAAGUAAUCGAAUAGUGGAAUGUACUUCUUCCCCACUAGGGACGACCCAGGAAAUUUAUCCAACACUUCAUAAGUUUCGACAUUCUGUGAUUUACCACCAGAAGGCUUUGUCUUAGAAUUUGGGAUUUGAGUGUCAGCAGCAGGUCCAUUUGGAGCGACCUUUUUGGCUUUCUCAACUGGUAGCUCAGCCAAUCGAGAUUCCGCCACUACAUAGAUCUUCCCGUUGAAUUUAUUGCGAACCUUGACGUAUACAAAAUUGGCGUUGACACAAAGAGCAAGAUUACUUGGAAGGGUCCAAGGAGUAGUAGUCCAUGCAACAAAGGAUGCACCCUCAGGAUCAUCAACUAUAGGGAAUGAAACCAUGAUUUCGGGGUCGCUUACUUCCUUGUAAUUUGAAUUAGCUUCAAAAUUGGAUAAUGGAGUCUUCAAACCAGUACUAUAAGGCAUAACCUUGAAGCCUCUAUAAACAAGACCCUUUUCAUGCAGCUUAGCAAAAACCCACCAAAGACUCUCCAUAUACUUCAAAUCCAUAGUCUUAUACCCAUUCUGAAAAUCAAUCCAUCUCCCCAUUCUCACCACAGUUUUUUCCCAUUCUCCAACAUACCUUGUCACAAUAGCUCUACAUUCCUCAUUAUACUUAUCAAUCCCCAUU